GACGAACGCUGGCGGCGUGCUUAACACAUGCAAGUCGAACGGUGAAAGCGGAGCUUGCUCCGCUGGAUCAGUGGCGAACGGGUGAGUAACACGUGGGCAACCUGCCCCUCACUUCGGGAUAACUCCGGGAAACCGGGGCGAAUACCGGAUAUGACCUCCUUCGGCAUCCUUGGAGGUGGAAAGUUUUUCGGUGAGGGAUGGGCCCGCGGCCUAGCAGCUUGUUGGUGAGGGAGUGGCUCACCAAGGCGACGACGGGUAGCCGGCCUGAGAGGGGUGACGUCCGAACGGGAACGGAGACACGACCCAGCCGCCUACGGGAGGCAGCAGUAGGGAAUCUUCCGCAAUGGACGAAAGUCUGACGGAGCAACACCGCGUGAGUGAUGAAGGCUUUCGUGUCGUAAAACUCUGUUGUUAGGGAAGAACAAGUGCUAGUUGUAUAAGCUGGCACCUUGACGGUACCUAACCAGAAAGCCACGGCUAACUACGUGCCAGCCGCCGCAGUAA
rnacentral:rRNA from 1 species